CCUACCUAAGGUCCUAAGGUGGGUGCCUCAAUCCUAGUUAUAAAAAAAUAUAAGAGUGAUUACCUAGGAGGAGUGGGAAGAAGUUAGCACAAACUUUGACAGAUCAGAAUAUCUACUUGAGAAUCCAUGUUGUUUCAGAAUGCUUAAAUAUCAUGGAAGUGGUCGAGAUGCGAUGAUUGGUUUGUUGAUGGGGCAUUGGAAUACGAUCAAUUCUUCUUUUUGCCUUUUCUUUACAACAAAUGCUCAAUGGAGUUAGAGUGGAUACCUAUGAUGUGAUGAAAUACUCUCUUUCUUUUCCUUUUCUAGUGAUGUUAUGAGGUACAAAUUAUUUGCUACAACAGUGGAUGUGCUUAUGAUGAUCGAUAUGAAUGUUAAACGCUUUAUUUUAAAUA